rnacentral:rRNA from 1 species
GAUGAACGCUGGCGGCGUGCCUAAUACAUGCAAGUCGAGCGAACGGACGAGAAGCUUGCUUCUCUGAUGUUAGCGGCGGACGGGUGAGUAACACGUGGAUAACCUACCUAUAAGACUGGGAUAACUUCGGGAAACCGGAGCUAAUACCGGAUAAUAUUUUGAACCGCAUGGUUCAAAAGUGAAAGACGGUCUUGCUGUCACUUAUAGAUGGAUCCGCGCUGCAUUAGCUAGUUGGUAAGGUAACGGCUUACCAAGGCAACGAUGCAUAGCCGACCUGAGAGGGUGAUCGGCCACACUGGAACUGAGACACGGUCCAGACUCCUACGGGAGGCAGCAGUAGGGAAUCUUCCGCAAUGGGCGAAAGCCUGACGGAGCAACGCCGCGUGAGUGAUGAAGGUCUUCGGAUCGUAAAACUCUGUUAUUAGGGAAGAACAUAUGUGUAAGUAACUGUGCACAUCUUGACGGUACCUAAUCAGAAAGCCACGGCUAACUACGUGCCAGCAGCCGCGGUAAUACGUAGGUGGCAAGCGUUAUCCGGAAUUAUUGGGCGUAAAGCGCGCGUAGGCGGUUUUUUAAGUCUGAUGUGAAAGCCCACGGCUCAACCGUGGAGGGUCAUUGGAAACUGGAAAACUUGAGUGCAGAAGAGGAAAGUGGAAUUCCAUGUGUAGCGGUGAAAUGCGCAGAGAUAUGGAGGAACACCAGUGGCGAAGGCGACUUUCUGGUCUGUAACUGACGCUGAUGUGCGAAAGCGUGGGGAUCAAACAGGAUUAGAUACCCUGGUAGUCCACGCCGUAAACGAUGAGUGCUAAGUGUUAGGGGGUUUCCGCCCCUUAGUGCUGCAGCUAACGCAUUAAGCACUCCGCCUGGGGAGUACGACCGCAAGGUUGAAACUCAAAGGAAUUGACGGGGACCCGCACAAGCGGUGGAGCAUGUGGUUUAAUUCGAAGCAACGCGAAGAACCUUACCAAAUCUUGACACCCUUUGACAACUCUAGAGAUAGAGCCUUCCCCUUCGGGGGACAAAGUGACAGGUGGUGCAUGGUUGUCGUCAGCUCGUGUCGUGAGAUGUUGGGUUAAGUCCCGCAACGAGCGCAACCCUUAAGCUUAGUUGCCAUCAUUAAGUUGGGCACUCUAAGUUGACUGCCGGUGACAAACCGGAGGAAGGUGGGGAUGACGUCAAAUCAUCAUGCCCCUUAUGAUUUGGGCUACACACGUGCUACAAUGGACAAUACAAAGGGCAGCGAAACCGCGAGGUCAAGCAAAUCCCAUAAAGUUGUUCUCAGUUCGGAUUGUAGUCUGCAACUCGACUACAUGAAGCUGGAAUCGCUAGUAAUCGUAGAUCAGCAUGCUACGGUGAAUACGUUCCCGGGUCU